rnacentral:rRNA from 1 species
GACGAACGCUGGCGGCGUGCCUAAUACAUGCAAGUAGAACGCUGAAGAGAGGAGCUUGCUCUUCUUGGAUGAGUUGCGAACGGGUGAGUAACGCGUAGGUAACCUGCCUUGUAGCGGGGGAUAACUAUUGGAAACGAUAGCUAAUACCGCAUAACAAUGGAUUACACAUGUCAUUUAUUUGAAAGGGGCAAUUGCUCCACUACAAGAUGGACCUGCGUUGUAUUAGCUAGUAGGUGAGGUAAUGGCUCACCUAGGCGACGAUACAUAGCCGACCUGAGAGGGGGAGCGGCCACACUGGGACUGAGACACGGCCCAGACUCCUACGGGAGGCAGCAGUAGGGAAUCUUCGGCAAUGGGGGCAACCCUGACCGAGCAACGCCGCGUGAGUGAAGAAGGUUUUCGGAUCGUAAAGCUCGGUUGUAAGUCAAGAACGGGUGUGAGAGUGGAAAGUUCACACUGUGACGGUAGCUUACCAGAAAGGGACGGCUAACUACGUG